GUGUCAGCAGCCGCGGUAAGACGUAGGGGGCGAGCGUUGUCCGGAUUUAUUGGGCGUAAAGCGCGCGUAGGCGGCUCGUUAAGUCGGUGGUGAAAACCCGGAGCUCAACUCCGGGCCUGCCUCCGAUACUGGCGGGCUGGAGGCAGGUAGGGGAGAGUGGAAUUCCUGGUGUAGCGGUGAAAUGCGCAGAUAUCAGGAGGAACACCGGUGGCGAAGGCGGCUCUCUGGACCUGUCCUGACGCUCAGGCGCGAAAGCUAGGGGAGCAAACAGGAUUAGAUACCCCCGUAGUCC
rnacentral:rRNA from 1 species